CAGUUCGGAUUGCAGUCUGCAACUCGACUGCAUGAAGCUGGAAUCGCUAGUAAUCGCGGAUCAGAAUGCCGCGGUGAAUACGUUCCCGGGUCUUGUACACACCGCCCGUCACACCAUGGGAGUCAGUAACGCCCGAAGUCAGUGACCGAACCGAGAGGACGGAGCUGCCGAAGGCGGGACGGAUAACUGGGGUGAAGUCGUAACAAGGUACC
rnacentral:rRNA from 1 species